ACGGAAGGCAGCAGUCGGGAAUAUUGCACAAUGGGGGAAACCCUGAUGCAGCAACGCCACGUGUGGGAAGAAGCAUUUCGGUGUGUAAACCACUGUCGUGAGGGAAUAAUGCUUAAUUUCGGUUAAGUUGACUGUACCUCGAAAGGAAGCACCGGCAAACUUCGUGCCAGCAGCCGCGGUAAUACGAGGGGUGCAAGCGUUGUUCGGAAUCACUGGGCAUAAAGGGAGCGCAGGCGGAGAUGCAAGCAGUCUGUACAAUACCGGGGCCCAAACCCGGACCUGCAGACUGGACUGUUUCUCUUGGAGAGUUCAGGGGCAAGCGGAAUUCCUGGUGUAGCGGUGGAAUGCGUAGAGAUCAGGAAGAACACCGAUGGCGAAGGCAGCUUGCUGGGGACUUAUCGACGCUCAUGCUCGAAAGUGCGGGUAGCAAUCAGGAUUAGAUACCCUGGUA
rnacentral:rRNA from 1 species